GUGAGGAAUAUUGGUCAAUGGACGGAAGUCUGAACCAGCCAUGCCGCGUGAAUGAUGAAGGUCUUAGGAUUGUAAAAUUCUUUCACCGGGGACGAUAAUGACGGUACCCGGAGAAGAAGCUCCGGCUAACUUCGUGCCAGCAGCCGCGGUAAUACGAAGGGGGCUAGCGUUGCUCGGAAUUACUGGGCGUAAAGGGCGCGUAGGCGGACAGCUUAGUCAGAGGUGAAAGCCCAGGGCUCAACCUUGGAAUUGCCUUUGAUACUGGCUGUCUUGAGUUUGGGAGAGGUGAGUGGAACUCCGAGUGUAGAGGUGAAAUUCGUAGAUAUUCGGAAGAACACCAGUGGCGAAGGCGACUCACUGGCCCAAUACUGACGCUGAGGCGCGAAAGCGUGGGGAGCAAACAGGAUUAGAAACCCUGGUAGUCC
rnacentral:rRNA from 1 species